GGAAGGCUGAGUCUACUCUGGUAGGAGCCCAGAGAGCAGGAGAUGCAGGACUUGCCAGUGCCCUCUGGGAAGGCUCAUCAGCAGAGACAGCACUGUGACAGGACACUGGACACCUGGACGGUGGUCAGUAGCUUGGAAGAAGGGAGGAGCACUAUCUCCUCAGUGGGAGACAUUUGGAGAGAAAGAGCAAAACUAAGUUUAGGAGAGAAGUGAGAGACACCUCACUGUCUUUUCUGGAGAAGGGACACCUCGUACAGCAGACAUCCAAGGAGCAUUCCACCCGCAUCUUCUAUCUUAGUCACUUUCCUGGUUGCUGAGACAAGGUAAGGAAGGAGAGACUUGUUUUGGCUCCUAUUUCAGCCUACAGUUGGCUGGCUCCAAGUCAGAACGUAGGGCAGAGGUAGGUACCUGGUGGGGGACGGCUCACAGCAUGGUGGACAGGAAGCAGAGUGAGUCAAGG
rnacentral:lncRNA from 1 species